GAGAGAACCCUGAUGAUUAAGUCUGUAAACAUCUCAAAAGUUAACACAUAGUUUUCCUUUUAUACAGAGGAGUAAAAAAGCUAGAAAGCAAUCAGUGUAAGUAAGGGAUGAGAUGGGUGGUGCAGUCCCAAAGUAGAUGAGAAGGCUCUACCCAGGGCCAGUCUGGUCCAAGGAAGGGUGAGCUGCUGCUGGCUCCGGCUGGUCUAGUUUCUUCAGAGGCCUAGAAGAAGGAGAGAAGCCAAACCAGUUUGGCCAACAAGAAUUUUGUUCCAGCUGAUCACUGGGGGCAAGCAGUUAAGCCAAUUAUUCUUAAAUAUUUUUAUUACUGCCUAUUAAUUUUAAAAAAACAUUGGGUUUCAAUGUGUGUAGUUUGAUCGUAUCCAUUCUCUGUAUUACCCUCCCUUACACCCACCCUAUUCCCUUCCUUUUUUGGUACCGGGGAUCAAACUCAGGACCUUGGGCUUUCAAGGCAGGUGCAGUGCCACUGAGCUAAAUCCCCAGUGCUAGUCCCUUCUAACAAGAAUCCGCCUUCUACUUUCAUGUUCUCUUUUCAGAUUCCAUAAAUAGGGGAGAAAAUGUGCUGCUUGUCUUUCUAAGUAUGGCUUAUUUUGCUUACUAUGAUGAUCUCCAGUUCCAUUCAUUUCCUGCAAAAUGACAUAGUUUCUUUAUGGCUGAAUAUGCCAUACUGUAUAAAUACCACAUUUCUUCUACCCAUUUAUCUGCUGAUGAGCAUUUAGGUUGAUACCAUAUCUUGGCUAUUGUGAAUAGUGCUCCAGUAAACAUGGAUAUGUAGGUAUCCCUGUUAUAUGAUGACUUUAAUUUCUUUGGAUAUAUAUACCAGGGAGUGGUAUAGCUGGAUCCAAUUGUGGCUCAAUUUUAUUUUUAGAAGUUAGGUUUUUUGCUUUGGGGGCAGUUUUUUGUUGUUUUAGUUUGGUUUUUGUACUGGGGAUUGAACCCUAGAGCCUUCGCACAGAGCUACAGCCUGAGCCCAUUUUUACUUUUAAUUUUGAGACCAGGUUUUGCUAAAUUGCUCAGUCUGAACUCAAACUUGCAAUCCUCCUGCCUCAGCCUCCCAGAUUGUUGGGAUUACAGGUAUGCAUCACUGUACCUGGCAUCUAUUUUUAGUUGUUAUGAGGAACCACCAUACUGAUUUCCACAGGGGCUGUGCUAAUUUACUUCCCACCAGUUGUGUAGAAUUCCUUUUCUUCUCUGCAUCCUUACUAGCAUUUACUUUUUGUUUUUUUAAUUUAUUGUUUUUUGGUUCUCAUUUCACAGAAAAGGUGUAAUAAAACAAGCAGAUGGUGGGUUAGAAGGGGGUCUGGUGGCUCCUACUUGUAAUCCCAGCACUCGGGAGGCAGAAGCAGGAGGAUCAACAGUAGUUGACGGCCAGCCUGGGCUACACAGGUGAGAGACAGGUGCCCCGUUUCAAUUUUCUACAUAUGAACAUCCAGUUUUCCCAGCACUGUUUGUUAAAGAGGCUGUCUUCUCCCCGCUGUGUUCUUAGGCUCCUUUGUCAAGAAUCAGACGAUGGUAAGCUUGUGGGUUUGUUUAUGUGUUCUCUUUUCUGUGUUGCUCUAUGUGUCUAUCUUUGUGCUAGUACCAUACUGUUUUUGCUCCUAGACUAAUUUGAAGUCAGGAUUGUGCUGCC
ensembl:lncRNA